AUAAACUUAAACCACUUUCCACAACGGGUCGCGUGGGGCCCACCUCAUUGAAGAACGCAGCGUAAUCCGUUAAGAAUGGUAUUGCUGAAUUCCGUGAAUCCUCGAAUCUUUGAACGCGCCUUGCGCUCCUUGGGAUUCCAAGGAGCAUGCCUGUUUGAGUGUCAU
rnacentral:rRNA from 1 species